GAUGAAGAACGUAGCGAAGUACGAUAAGUAAUGUGAAUUGCAGAAUUCCGUGAAUCAUCGAAUCUUUGAACGCAAAUUGCACUCUCUGGCAACCCGGGGAGUAUGCCUGUUUGAGGGUCAGUGUUAAUAAAAAUCGGGUUCGUUGCAAUUUUUGUGACGUUUCCGGAGUUUGAGUUAUCUUAACUUCGGUUUUUAAGAGGCUUAAAAUUGACCUUUUUUUGUGCAUUUUAGACGUACAUAAAUUUUUUUUUAUUCGCCUAUCCUAAUGCCAAAAUCUAUUAGAUGCGACCAUAUCUUGUGGUUCCGUGUCUAUAAAUUUUUCAUGAUUUGACCUCAAAUCAGGUAGGAACUCCCGCUGAACUUAGGCAUAUCAAUAAGCGGAGGA
rnacentral:misc_RNA from 1 species